UGUGUCCUUCGACGCCGGUUCACCGCCUGUCGGUGCCAACUGGCGUUUUGCGGGACGUCCUGUCGGUGGUGUGUCAGGAAUCUUAGUUGUGCCAGGCUUUGCUUGGUGCAGCUCUGGUUUCGGGCCACUUUCAUAAUCCCGCCGCGGUGCUCUUAAUCGAGUGUCGAGGCGGGCCGGCACGUUUACUUUGAACAAAUUAGAGUGCUUCAAGCAGGCUUGUCACGCCUGUAUACUGUGUGCAUGGAAUAAUGGAAUAGGACCUCGGUUCUAUUUUGUUGGUUUCUGGAAUCUGAGGUAAUGAUCAAUGGGGACAGGCGGGGGCAUUCGUAUUGCGACGUUAGAGGUGAAAUUCUUGGAUCGUCGCAAGACGGACCGAAGCGAAAGCAUUUGCCAAGUAUGUUCCCGUCGAUCAAGAACGAAAGUUAGAGGUUCGAAGGCGAUCAGAUACCGCCCUAGUUCUAACCAUAAACAAUGCCUGCCAGCGAUCCGCCGGCGUCCCUCCGAUGACCCGGCGGGCAGCUUCCGGGAAACCAGAGCUUUUGGGUUCCGGGGGAAGUAUGGUUGCAAAGCUGAAACUUAAAGGAAUUGACGGAAGGGCACCACCAGGAGUGGAGCCUGCGGCUUAAUUUGACUCAACACGGGAAAACUCACCAGGCCCGGACACCGGAAGGAUUGACAGAUUGAUAGCUCUUUCUUGAUUCGGUGGGUGGUGGUGCAUGGCCGUUCUUAGUUGGUGGAGCGAUUUGUCUGGUUAAUUCCGAUAACGAACGAGACUCUAGCCUACUAACUAGACGUAUCUGGUAUCAGCAAUCGUGCUACCAGCGAUCAUAUCUCUUCUUAGAGGGACAGGCGGCUUCCAGCCGCACGAGACUGAGCAAUAACAGGUCUGUGAUGCCCUUAGAUGUCCUGGGCCGCACGCGCGCUACACUGAAGGAAUCAGCGUGUCUUCCCUGUCCGAAAGGACCGGGUAACCCGCUGAACCUCCUUCGUGCUUGGGAUUGGGGCUUGCAAUUGUUCCCCAUGAACGAGGAAUUCCCAGUAAGCGCGAGUCAUAAGCUCGCGUUGAUUACGUCCCUGCCCUUUGUACACACCGCCCGUCGCUACUACCGAUUGAAUGAUUUAGUGAGGUCUUCGGACCGGUGCGCGGAGGCGGUUUUCCGCUCCCGAUGUUGUCGGAAAGAUGACCAAACUUGAUCAUU
rnacentral:rRNA from 1 species